UACGGGGGGGGCAAGCGUUGUUCGGAUUCACUGGGCGUAAAGGGUGCGUAGGUGGUCGGGUAAGUCUGAUGUGAAAUCUCUGGGCUCAACCCAGAAAUGGCAUUGGAUACUAUUCGGCUAGAGGAGUGGAGGGGGGACUGGAAUACUUGGUGUAGCAGUGAAAUGCGUAGAUAUCAAGUGGAACACCAGUGGCGAAGGCGAGUCCCUGGACACUUCCUGACACUGAGGCACGAAAGCUAGGGGAGCAAACAGG
rnacentral:rRNA from 1 species